rnacentral:rRNA from 3 species
GCAUAUCAAUAAGCGGAGGAAAAGAAACCAACAGGGAUUGCCUCAGUAACGGCGAGUGAAGCGGCAACAGCUCAAAUUUGAAAUCUGGCCUCUUUGGGGUCCGAGUUGUAAUUUGUAGAGGAUGUUUCGGGUACCGCCUCGGUUUAAAUUUCUUGGAACAGAAUGUCAAAGAGGGUGAGAAUCCCGUCUUGGACCGGCGGUAGGGCCCAUGUGAAACUCCUUCGACGAGUCGAGUUGUUUGGGAAUGCAGCUCAAAAUGGGUGGUAAAUUUCAUCUAAAGCUAAAUAUUGGCCAGAGACCGAUAGCGCACAAGUAGAGUGAUCGAAAGAUGAAAAGCACUUUGAAAAGAGAGUUAAACAGUAUGUGAAAUUGUUGAAAGGGAAGCGCUUACAACCAGACUUGAGCGCGGCGGUUCCCCCUUCCUUUUGGUUGGGUUACUCCGCCGUGUCCAGGCCAACAUCGGUUCUGGGGGUCGGUCAAAGGCUUUGGGAAUGUACCUACCCUUCGGGCGUAGACUUAUAGCCCAGAGUGUCAUGCGGCCUCCCGGGACCGAGGAACGCGCUUCGGCUCGGAUGUUGGCGUAAUGGUUGUCAGCGACCCGUCUUGAAACACGGACC